CCUACGGGAGGCAGCAGUGAGGAAUAUUGGUCAAUGGACGGAAGUCUGAACCAGCCAUGCCGCGUGCAGGAAGACGGCUCUAUGAGUUGUAAACUUCUUUUAUAAAGGAAUAAAACGAGGCACGUGUGCCUUUUUGCAUGUACUUUAUGAAUAAGGAUCGGCUAACUCCGUGCCAGCAGCCGCGGUAAUACGGAGGAUCCGAGCGUUAUCCGGAUUUAUUGGGUUUAAAGGGAGCGUAGAUGGGUUGUUAAGUCAGUUGUGAAAGUUUGCGGCUCAACCGUAAAAUUGCAAUUGAUACUGGCAGUCGUGAGUACAGUUGAGGUAGGCGGAAUUCGUGGUGUAGCGGUGAAAUGCUUAGAUAUCACGAAGAACCCCGAUUGCGAAGGCAGCUUACUAAACUGUGACUGACAUUGAUGCUCGAAAGUGUGGGUAUCAAACAGGAUUAGAUACCCUAGUAGUC
rnacentral:rRNA from 1 species